rnacentral:tRNA from 1 species
GUGGGUUUGUAGCUCAGUGGUGGAGCACUUGCCUCGUGCAUGUAUGGCACUGGGUUCAAUCCCCAGCACCACA